UGGGGAGCCAAAUGAUUAUCAGCGGUUACGGGUCACAGUUGUGCUUGCUGUAAUGACAAUGCCGACAUUCACUUACGGUAAUUUGAGUGAUUCCAUUUGGCUUGCUGCUGUUAUGCUAUGUUUUUUCUGUCAUGGAAAUUUUGCAGGUAGUUUUGAUAGCAGCUCCAGAUAUGUUUUCCAUAAUCAAUAACAAAUUCAGCAGUGCCUCUGCUACCAAACUCAGCAUCAUUUGUGGUAGGUUUUGAAUUAAACCGCGUAUCUUUCCUGGGUGAUGUAGAGCGCAACAGAGCCGGGGAUACCACGUUCUCGUUUUUAAGGCCUCUACAAGUAACCAUACAAGAUAUAUCAAGAGAACUCGAAUCGUCACAAUUUCUGUUCUCUUUCGAUUCUCUAAAGGAAUUAGAGCAGGCAUUCAGCUCGUAGACAGAAGUGUGAAACUCGUCCUUUGAUGCUUCCCGUCAAACAACAAAAUGUAAGGCAAAAUUGUAGCUUCAACAAAAAAACUUGACUUGUCGGACCUCACAUUAUUAGGAUGCUUUUUCUUGUGGAGGAAAUUUGUGAGAUACUUGGAGACAACUAAAGAUCAUUCUGCAUGAUAAUGAUUCACUAAAUUCCCAUUGAUCCACAAGUCCGUCAAUGCCAUCCAUAAUAACAUCACAAUUUGUCAGCUCAAAUAUGUCAUUGGAAUUCCAAGUCAGGGGCAGGUCUGGUAUAAGAACGUCAAUGCCACUAGCUGCAUCAACCAAUCUUGUGACAAGGAGCAACACCCAGAGUCUUGUUGAAAAUAGUAAUGACUGAAUGAACUUUCCUGUAAGUUGAAAGAAGCAAAAUGGUUCCCAUAUGAUAUGAACUGCAAUGAAUUGUUGGUU